UACGUAGGGGGCAAGCGUUGUCCGGAUUUAUUGGGCGUAAAGAGCGUGUAGGCGGCCAGACAGGUCCGUUGUGAAAACUCGAGGCUCAACCUCGAGAUGUCGAUGGAAACCGUCUGGCUAGAGUCCGGAAGAGGAGUGUGGAAUUCCUGGUGUAGCGGUGAAAUGCGCAGAUAUCAGGAAGAACACCUAUGGCGAAGGCAGCACUCUGGCCCGGUACUGACGCUGAGGUGCGAAAGCGUGGGGAGCAAACAGG
rnacentral:rRNA from 1 species